ACACAGGUGACGAGUCCCAAAUAAGAUGAAACGCGCGUCCUGGAU
rnacentral:hammerhead_ribozyme from 1 species